CUUCUCACCUCGUCACCUACCUUUUCCAACCUUAUCCCUUCACUAUCUUCCCACUGCUCCCUAUUCCAUGGCAGCCACAAGCCCACAACACUCUCUACCUCCUCAGGCCGGCCCUCCUCUUCGUCUCCACCGCCGACGCGAGGGCUCGCACUCUCCCCACUCUUCUCAACCCCUCCACAUCGAAUCGGUCGCAGAAGUGCCCGAGGAUCUGCUCGAGCUCGGCAUGGUCGCUGGGCGUGGGACGAAGGCCGAUGCGGAGGCGCGGGAUUCAUCUCCAUCAGAUCGGUGGCCGUGGAAAUCAUGCGUCGCAACCUCCGCGCCCGGUGCCUUCCUCUCCAUCUCGUUCGUCGACAGCUCCCACCACCUUGUGCAUGCGACUGCGCUGCACCCUGCCCUGCCCAGAUACGGCAGCAGUGCCGCAGUGGCUGGUCCCCUACUCCCCUCCAAGUGCAAGCCGGCUCCAUUAGACGAUCUAUUCCCCACUUCAGCUUUCAUAUCUGCUUAUUUCAUAUCCCCAUUACCCACUUCUGCUAAUCGCUAAUUGCUAUCCAUUCAUGUAUAGUACAUAUGUAGCUCAGUAGUCUAGGUUUAAGCAUGAGAGUCAUUUUAGAAUCGGGGAGAAAAAUUAGAAGUUGGGGUGAUCCUAUUUUGGUCUGCCUAAUCUUGGAGUAAGCUGUUCGAUUAGACGUUCUUAACUUAGUUGCGGCAGCUGUUAUGAGUGGGGAUUGCAGUUAGUUAAUAUUCUUCAGGCAACCAUGCGGCGAUAAAGCUGAUUGAUUGGUGGAUUUGAAUUCUGGGUGGCUAGGGGCAAUAGGGACCAAGACGGAUGAGGUUGAUUAGGCUUGAUCCUGCCAAAGAAAUUUACUUCUAUUUUGAAAAAUGAACACAUGUUCUUAGAUGUGUAGGGUUAAGUUUCCAAAUGUGAGGUUUAUAGCAAAUCAAAGAGGAUCAAGAGAAGCAUAUAGUAUGAUAAUACAGUAUAAGCAUGUAUGGCUGUAGGAUAAUACAGUAUGAAGAAUGAUGAUGGUAUGGUUCUCAUAUAGAGGACAGUGGUUGGCUCAAAGAGUUUACCACCUAAAAAAUUUCCUUUCUUGGAAUAACCAUCUCUGGCAUCUUCAGUACUACUUACGGCAGCUGCGCAAGUGAUAUUCAUGAUAUAGCACAACCUUUUAGAUAUAUUUCUUGUUGUCCCGGACCCCCUGUUAAAACAGAAGUGCUUUUGCAGGCUUACAAGAAAUGGAUUUUGAGGACCAUCUAACUAUCUAAGAAUCAUGGAAUUCGUUCCAUCCUAAAUUUUUGGGACUCUGGAAUAAACACAAAGAUGGGAAUGGGGAUGCAUACCUGUCUGCCAUACACAUUGACAGGUUUUCAAUACUCAUCCUGAAGCUUUUCAGUGUUGUACAGAAGAAGUAAUUGACAGGUUUACUUCAUGAUAGUCUUGGAUUUGGUUUGGCCAAAAUGAUCAGGUGCGUUGCCUGAGGAGUUUGUCGGCGCCUAUGUCGGCGGCUGCGGAAGGCGGCGAUGGCCAAAACUGGCUGGGCGGCAAUGGUGCAAUAGUGGCUUGCGGCGCCGACGUCUCACUGCAGUGUGCGUCUGAACAGCGACAUCGAAGAAAGACACUAAGAUUAACUGGGAUGGAACUGACCAUGUAUUGCGCACAAGAGGAUAGUCCGCACCUGCGUUCGCGAGAAGCUCUUCGGCGUGGUCGUCGUCCACUGCGAUGGCGCAGGACAGGCUCUGCGGCUGCGACGUAUGUCCCGGUGGGCAAGGGUAGGAAGAUCCAGUUGAUUCCCGUAAGUUUAGCCAUUUGUUGUUAGGCGGACGUGCUUGAUUGCCGUUAAUUGUGGCUAAUUUUCUGCAGUUUAGCCAUUCGUUGUUAGGACGUGAACAGAAUUGGUGGAACCGUUCUGAUCUUGUGCGAGCGUGGGUCCGGCAGAGUUUUCGUCCGCCAUGUUUUCUUGUUUAAUAGUAGUGUAGAUCAAUCCCCGAAUCCCGUCCUUUCCUUAUUGUUACGGGACAACUUCUCACUUUCCUA